rnacentral:rRNA from 1 species
CCUACGGGAGGCAGCAGUGAGGAAUAUUGGUCAAUGGGCGUAAGCCUGAACCAGCCAAGUCGCGUGAGGGAUGAAGGUUCUAUGGAUCGUAAACCUCUUUUAUAAGGGAAUAAAGUGCGGGACGUGUCCCGUUUUGUAUGUACCUUAUGAAUAAGGAUCGGCUAACUCCGUGCCAGCAGCCGCGGUAAUACGGAGGAUCCGAGCGUUAUCCGGAUUUAUUGGGUUUAAAGGGUGCGUAGGCGGCCUUUUAAGUCAGCGGUGAAAUCGCGGGGCUCAACCUCGCUCCGCCGUUGAAACUGGCGUUCUUGAGUGGGCGAGAAGUAUGCGGAAUGCGUGGUGUAGCGGUGAAAUGCAUAGAUAUCACGCAGAACUCCGAUUGCGAAGGCAGCAUACCGGCGCCCAACUGACGCGGAAGCACGAAAGCGUGGGUAUCGAACAGGAUUAGAUACCCCAGUAGUC